rnacentral:misc_RNA from 1 species
CUCAAUCGCCCCAAGUUCGAGAGAAAAGGGCGGAGGUGUACCAUCUUGGCGAGAUCCACGGAGGUCUCGGCGAGAGGGACAAAACAAAUUUGCCGAGUUUUCACCUGGCUCCCAAAGGCGCCUGAUGCGAGAUUUUCUCCUUCUCCACCGCCUGAAAGGGAGACCCUGGGGCUCUGCAGAGACCGCAUCAUCCGGGAAUCUCGGUCUCCGGACCGGAUCCUGU